GAUGAACGCUGGCGGCGUGCCUAAUACAUGCAAGUCGAGCGAACCUACUUUGUGCUUGCUCCUCUGCACUUACCGACGGACGGUUGAGUAACACGUGGAUAACCUACCUAUAAGCCUGGGAUACCUUCGGGAAACCGGAGCUAUUACCGGAUAUUCUAUUGACCCGCAUGGUUCAAUAGUGCAUGAUAGUUUUGUUGUCACUUAUUGUUGUAUCCGGUGUGCAUUAGCUCGUUGGUAAGGGAACGGCUUACCAAGGCGACGAUUGCUAGCCGACAUGAGCGGGUGAACGGGCAAAAUGGAACUGAGACAAGGGCCAGACUCCUAAGGGAGGCAAGAGGAGGGAAUCUUCCGCAAAGGGCGAAAGCCUGAAGGAGCAAAGGCGCGUGAGUGAUAAAGGUCUUCGGAACGGAAAACUCUGUUAGUAGGGAAGAACAAAUGUGUAAGGAACUAUGCACGGCUUGAAGGGACCUAAUCAGAAAGCCAAGGCUAAAUAAGGG
rnacentral:rRNA from 1 species